rnacentral:rRNA from 1 species
GACGUAGGGCGCGAGCGUUGUCCGGAUUUAUUGGGCGUAAAGAGCUCGUAGGCGGUUUGUCGCGUCGUCUGUGAAAACCCACGGCUCAACUGUGGGCUUGCAGUCGAUACGGGCAGGCUAGAGGUAGGUAGGGGAGAAUGGAAUUCCCGGUGUAGCGGUGAAAUGCGCAGAUAUCGGGAGGAACACCGGUGGCGAAGGCGGUUCUCUGGGCCUUACCUGACGCUGAGGAGCGAAAGCGUGGGGAGCGAACGGG